rnacentral:rRNA from 1 species
GAUGAACGCUGGCGGCGUGCCUAAUACAUGCAAGUCGAGCGAACAGACGAGGAGCUUGCUCCUCUGACGUUAGCGGCGGACGGGUGAGUAACACGUGGAUAACCUACCUAUAAGACUGGGAUAACUUCGGGAAACCGGAGCUAAUACCGGAUAAUAUAUUGAACCGCAUGGUUCAAUAGUGAAAGACGGUUUUGCUGUCACUUAUAGAUGGAUCCGCGCCGCAUUAGCUAGUUGGUAAGGUAACGGCUUACCAAGGCAACGAUGCGUAGCCGACCUGAGAGGGUGAUCGGCCACACUGGAACUGGGACACGGUCCAGACUCCUACGGGAGGCAGCAGUAGGGAAUCUUCCGCAAUGGGCGAAGGCCUGACGGGGCAACGCCGCGUGAGUGAUGAAGGUCUUCGGAUCGUAAAACUCUGUUAUUAGGAAAGAACAAAUGUGUAAGUAACUAUGCACGUCUUGACGGUACCUAAUCAGAAAGCCACGGCUAACUACGU